UGCUCUUUUUUGGUUUACUUGAGAGAUAACUGACAUAUCACAUCAUAUUCGUUGUAGGUGUACGCUGUCUCAGUUUGCCCUCUUAUUAAUGGGAUGAACUCUGCAACUUUGGAAAAAUUAGGAAACCUCACUUACUGUAAUUUCCUCCUCUGUCCUCUGAGGGAUGAAGACUAAUUACGGGAACUCGCAGAUUCCAGCUGUAUUGCUCCUGGCCCCCCAGCUCCACAUGUGUGAACCAUACGUGUUGACAAGCCUGAGGUCCUGAAGCAAAGCAAAUAGUGCUGAUUCUGCCUUAGGUCCUUCUGUGACUCUGACCCUUCUACUUCCCUCUUAGAAAGACCCUUGUGAUGACAUUGGACCCACCUGGAUAAUCCAGCGUCAUCUCAGCAUCUCAAGGUCCUUAAUCACAUCUGUAGAAUCCCUUCUGCCCAGUAAGGAGAGGAUCCAGGCACCUUCGGGACCACCAAAUGCAGCUUCCUGGUCCGUGGGUGACAAGCGACCACCAGAACCUCUUGUUUCAGCAUCGCCAUUUGGUAAGUCUGCCUUUGUCACCCUGAGGGCCUCAGGACCCUCAUUCAGGCCACGCUUUCCUUCUCCCCUUUGUCCUUUUUCCUCUCCUGAUAUCUCUCUCUACGUCUCCUCUUUCUCUGUCCUCUCCUUCGGAGAGGGGGUAAUUACAGAAU